AACGCACAUUGCGCCCUUCGGUAUUCCGUUGGGCAUGCCUGUUCGAGCGUCAUUUAAACCUUCAAGCUCUGCUUGGUGUUGGGUGUUUGUCCCGCCUCUGCGCGUGGACUCGCCUUAAAUUCAUUGGCAGCCGGUAAGUUGGCUUCGCGCGCAGCACAUUGCGAUGCGAUUCUGAUAGACCCCCUUCCAUUAAGCUCCUUUUUUACUUUGACCUCGGAUCAGGUAGGGAUACCCGCUGAACUUAA
rnacentral:misc_RNA from 1 species